UUCUAUUGAUCACUAAAGAUGGAAAACAGUAGAGAUUGUGUAGACUUUCGUUACAAACUUCCAUUUAGAAUUUUACAAUCACGCAUUCCAUUUCGUGAAAAAAAGAGAGAGUAGCCAAGUCAUGAUUUGAUUUCUUUUUGUCGUGUAGAUGACGUACAAGUAGUGUACUAGUAAUAUACGACAUUGUAAUCCAAGAAAUGGAAUGCAUUUUGACAGAACUCUAGUGAGAUAAUCCUGGACUAUGAAACAGAUAUGGUACACAUGUUACUGUCAUCAACUUGUGAAGAGCAGCGAAGUGUAGUUUGAUGUUUGUGGGCCAAAGGGCAUAAACCAAGCGAAAUUCAUGAGGGCUUGCAUGUGUGAAUAGUGACAAUUGUAUGGACCGUUGAAAAGUCUUCAGGUGGUGUGCAUUCUUCCAAGAGGACCAUGUGAACAUUUGCAAUUCGCCAUGCUCCAGGCAGCUGCAGAAUGUCAGAGCCAUUAAGGCAGCAAUUUUGAAAGACUGGAGUGUGCAACUGUGAACCUUAUCUCAGCAGUUCAACAUUUCCAAUGGUGCAAUGUUUGAUAUUGUUCAUGACACUUUCAAAUUUCAUAAAGCUAUAGCUUGCUGGGUGCCUAAGGACUGACAGAUAACCAAAAAGGCCAGCGAAUAUCAAAGUGUCUCAAACUGCUUGAAAACUGCUUUUGACAGUGUUCUGAGAUAUGCAUGAUGGACUUUGCUGAACAUGGGACCACUUUGAAUGCUGUAGUCUACAUUAAAACUUUGGGAAGAAAUUCCUGGCUGGCCAGUGCUUUGCAACAGAUGUGGAAGUGAAAUCAGUGGUCCGAAGAUGGCUGUACUCCAAUGAAAUGGGCUUCUACAGCCAGGGAAUAUUGCAAGUGUACCACAAUGGGUGAAAUGUGUUGAGAAUGUUUGUGACUAUGUAGAAAAGUAGGUAAAAGAUGUAAGUUCAUUUGUGAUUUUUUUGUUUUGUUACCUAUUAAUCUUUUUGGUAAUAAAAUCAUUGUCAGUUACUUUCUGAUUUUUGCUCGUAUCUCCCACAGUGGGAUGUCCUGAUUGCUAAAUGUCACAAAUGUCUUUCAUAGUCAUGGAAGCUUGGAAAUGGGACAUGCUGUCCUAAAAAUGUCAUCUUUAGUGAAUCACUGAGACUAGGAAUUGUCCGUGAUAGACUUAAAUAUGCAGUGGUGAAACCAUUGUACAAGAAGGGUGACAGAAACGAAGUAACCAAUUAUCGCCCUAUUUCACUCUUAACAUGUUUCUCCAAGAUUCUCGAGAAACUUGUACACAGAAGGAUUCUUGAACAUCUUAUUAAAUACAAUAGUCUCAAUAAAAGUCAAUUCGGUUUCCAGAAAAACAUCUCAACAGAAGAUGCAAUAUAUUCUUUCACCAAUGCAAUUCUUGAAUCAAUCAAUAAUAAAAUUCUUCAACUGGAAUUUUUUGUGACCUUUCUAAGGCGUUUGAUUGCGUGAACCAUGAGAUUUUUCUGAGAAAGGCAGAAUUUUAUGGGUUAACUGGAGAAGCAGGGAACCAGUGUCCUCUUAUUGGGGCACAAUAAACUGUGGAGUCCCACAGGGCUCUAUUCUGGGUCCUCUACUUUUCCUUAUUUUCAUAAAUGACCUUCCAAUGUGUACAAUGGCUAAGAUAAAAUUUACUUUGUUUGCCAAUGACACGAUGAUUCUGGUAGACAAUUCAACAAAUACUAAUUCUGAAAUCACUGUAAAUGAAAUUUUUCAGGAGGCCUUUAACUGGUUUACCUCUAAUGGAUUAUCACUAAAUUUUGAGAAAACUCAAUUGAUUCAAUUCCAUACAAGCCAAAAUAUCGAAGGGGAGAUUAAUGUUAAAUACAAUGAUGGGAAUUUAGCAAGAGUGGAGUCAACAAGGUUCCUGGGUCUACUUGUUAAUAGCAAUCUAAACUGGUUCUUACACAUUCCUUACCUAUAUAAAAACUAAGCUCAGCAAUUUACGCUAUUUGUGCGAUUGCUUCCUUCAGUGACAUAAAUACUUUGAAAGCUGCCUAUUUUGGUUAUUUUCGUGCCCUGAUGGCCUAUGGAAUUAUAUUCUGGGGAAACCAGCCAAAGACAAACAAAAUCCUCAGAGCCCAGAAAAGAGUUAUUAGGAUUCUGUGUGGUGCCAAUUACAGACAUUCCUGCAGGAAACUCUUCCAAGCACUGAGAAUACUCUCAAGGGUCUCUCAGUACAUUUUCUCUCUCAUGUGUUUCUUGUGUAAAAACCAUUCCCUUUUUGAAAUGAACAGCAUGUAUCAUAACUAUGACACCAGGGUAAAAAAUUAUCUACAUCUUCAGCAAAAGAAUCUAAGUAUGGUGGAAAAAGGAGUACACUACUCUUGCAUAAAAAUAUUAAUGCUCUCCCUCAGGCAAUAAAAAUGUCAGUUACUGAUCCACCUACUUUUAAAUACCAACUUAAACAGUAUCUUCUAAGUAAAACCAUUUACUCACGGGAUGAAUUUAU